rnacentral:rRNA from 1 species
UACGAAGGGGGCUAGCGUUGCUCGGAAUCACUGGGCGUAAAGGGUGCGUAGGCGGGUCUUUAAGUCAGGGGUGAAAUCCUGGAGCUCAACUCCAGAACUGCCUUUGAUACUGAAGAUCUUGAGUUCGGGAGAGGUGAGUGGAACUGCGAGUGUAGGGGUGAAAUUCGUAGAUAUUCGCAAGAACACCAGUGGCGAAGGCAGCCCCCUGGGCUAACACUGACGCUCAGGCACGAAAGCGUGGGGAGCAAACAGG